rnacentral:rRNA from 1 species
UACGGGGGGGGCAAGCGUUGUUCGGAAUUACUGGGCGUAAAGGGCUCGUAGGCGGCCAACUAAGUCAGACGUGAAAUCCCUCGGCUUAACCGGGGAACUGCAUCUGAUACUGGAUGGCUUGAGUUCGGGAGAGGGAUGCGGAAUUCCAGGUGUAGCGGUGAAAUGCGUAGAUAUCUGGAGGAACACCGGUGGCGAAGGCGGCCUGCUGGGCAGUAGCUGACACUGAGGCGCGACAGCGUGGGGAGCAAACAGG